AGGGACGGCACGGCGAUUGGGGACGAGCAGGAAUGAACCAACAAGCGUAGGACGAGGAGGAGCUCCAUCAGCAGAAGCUCAUGGAGGAACAAGUCUGAAUCUCCUCACGGCAUAGGUGGUUCGACUCCACUCAUCUAAUCUGCUCUCUCCCCCUUACGCUCAUGUGCAUGUGUAUGUGUAGAACCAAUUAGAUUAGAUUAGAUCCUUGAUUAGAUGGUUUCAAGAGAAAAGUGCUGACCUUAAUUGAUAGAUUCAGGAAUUGACGCCCUUGUGGGCACAAUCAGCAUGCAACUAUGAUUUAUUCAUAUUCGUCAAUGGAGAGGGAAUGCCCAAACCAAUAGUGAUUAUUGGAAUAAAUAUUUCAGUGAGAGCAGCUAUGUUUUUUGUUAUAUUUAGUAGUCAAUGAUGGUGGAUUUCCUAAAAAAAGGUUAUAGAUGGUGCAUACUACUUGUCUGCUGCCCAAUUGUGACCUUUAUUUUCUUUGCAUUGGUGACUGUCACUCCACGGUGUUUUUAGUCGCACAUGUCAAACAGUAAUACUUGAAGUUCUGUCAAUCCUACAUGGUCCUUCUGCACUGCAUAUAUAAAGUUUCUAAAUUUUGCAUAUCUGCAUAUGUCUCAUGUACUUGAUUUCCAAAUUCGUUUGUGGUAAUUUCGGUUCUUUUGCUUACUGCAAGUAACAUGGAGAUGCCUUGUGGUUUUGUUCUGUUCGUGAAGAUGCAGCAAUGAGAGGAAAACCAUGGUUGCCUCUUCAGUGGUGUUUUUUGUUUGAAUCAUACCCUGAUUAGGCGGUUUGAAAUUUCUGAUGCUGCCUCUUCAGUGGUGUUUUUCAAGAAAAAACCUUGGCUGUCUGAGCUCCCAGAUCUCAUCCCAUCGACCAAUUUUUCUCGCUUUCUGUUCCGUCGGUGUUUUUCUUUCUGUUUGCAUCAGCUGAUUAGGGUGCUCGAGUGAUGACAUCCAUGUGGACUAGAGUUUCUGAUGCUGCCUCUUCAGCAGUGUGUUUGAAGACAAACCCUUGGCUGUCUGAGCUCCCAGAUUUUCUUCAAAAUGAUGCCUUUUUUCCUGAUGGCUUUUUUUGAUUAGUUGAUGUGUGUCUGUUACCAAUUCGGGUUGAUGAUUUUUGUUCCUCACAAGGUAAUGGCUCGGACGCUAGAAUUGAUUCUGUGGUGAUAUCCUGAUUGGUGGCGUUCUUGGUGCCAGCUUAUCCUGGAAAAGCCACAUAUAUUCACAUUAGCACAUUCUUUCUUGUUAUUUUACUGUGUUUUUGGGAUCUAAAUGAUGCAAAACUACGAAAGGGAAAGCGUCCAUGUCAGUUUUCUUUCACAUUCAUAGGGAGAUUUGAUAGAUUCCUCUGUUUGUUUUUUGUUCUUUGUUGCAUUUUUAUUCUUUUUAUUCAUGAAUGUGGAUGGAGUAAAAUACAGUUAUCCCCGUCUUACUUCCUCGAAAGGGUGCUGACAGUCUUUGAAUCUCACACAAUUUACUAUCCACUGAUCACUUGUUAUUUCCCUUUCUUUUGGUUUUUGUAAGUGUAAAGUUGAUCUUCGCGGGUGACGAUUAGUAUUGAUUGUUGAACAGGUACAUAGAUUACCUGUACCAUGUCGACAUUUCCUCCCCUGAGCUCCAAGUAUCCACGGUGGCCUCCUCCUUUUUCCUCUCCUCGGCCGUGUGCUGACGCCAUCAAGGUUUUGAUUUGAUCUUCUUCCCUUCCUUGGUUUCCUCACGCGCUCCUACUCCACAACCAUAGGGAUGGCAUAGCGAUUCGGGACGAGCAGGAUGGGGCCAACAAGCCUAGCAGAAGGAGGAGCUCCAUCAGCAGUAGCUCACGGAGGAACAAGUCUGAAUCGUUGCUGUUUGCGCUCACUCUGGUGUCCUGGCUUCACUUCACGGCAUAGGUGGUUAGAUUCCGCUACUCUGCUCUGCUCUCUCCCCCUCACACUCAUGUGCAUGGGCAUGUGCAGGGAUUCAACCAAUUACUGUAGCUACCAUCAAUUAGAUUAGAUCCUUGACUAGAUGGUUUCAAGAGAAAAGUGCUGACCGUACUCGACUGAUUCAGGAAUUGGCACCCUUCUGGGUACAACCAGCAUGCAUUUAUGAUUUAUUUAUAUUCAUCAAUGCUCAAACCAACAGUUCCUAUUGGAAUAACUGUUUCAGUGAGAGCAACUAUGUUUUUUGUUAUAUUUACUAGUCAUAGAAGGUGGAUUUCCUAUAAAAGAAGUUAUAGAAGGUGCAUACUGUUUGUCUGCUGCCCAGUUGCGACCUUUAUUUUGUUUUCAUUGGUGACGGUGAAUCCUCCAUGGUGUUUUUAGUUUAUAAGUCAAACAGUAAUAAAAUCAUCUAGCCGCUUAUGUAGGGAGCAUGGUAGAGUGGCUAGCAGCUUGGAGCUAUUCACUUGAUAGCAAAACACAGGGAUAUUUACAUGCCAUACUGUUUGUCCAUGAUCUUAUAGCUCAAGUACCAUUUCCGGGAAUUGCGUGCAAGUGCUUGCCUGUGAGGUGUGAGCUGCAGGAAUUUAAUACAUCGAAUGCCAUCAUUUUUCGUUUGCCUACAAUUGUUUGUCUAUGAGCAUUUGCACUGAUUGUUGUUGUGAUAUACCUCCACAGAUUCCACUGAAAAGAUUGUUCUAGGCACCUAAUCUAUUUGUUUGUUUGAUUCAGAGCAGUAGGCAUCCUCCACGGACGACAUUGACGAGGAACAUGCGGUACUGCAUGGCCGAGCUGCUGAGCUCGAGAAGAACAUCAUCGAGUCCGACCCCAACAUUGAAGGUGAUUACGACAACCCGCACAAGUUUGCUCCGCCCUCCCACCCAUUGGUGGUAAGCCAUUGGUUCUCUGUCAGCUCCACCCCCCCCCCCUCUAGGUGGACAUCAUUGAAUUUAUAUUGAAGUUUUCCUAUGUCAGCCCAUAAAGAAUCUAGCUUUUGGUUUUCCGAGACAUGGGGAUCACUACAUGUUCCUAUAUGAAUGUUUAAGCAACAAAAGUGCUUGUUGUCUUAAGUGUCAACUUAGCUAUCUGUGUUUCAAACCACCUCCUGCCCAAUUCAUGGGUUGAGCAUAGUCAUAUGCCAUCUAAAGGAUGAACUGAAUGUGGUUUAUCCAUUAUCCUACUUGCAGUACUUUAAAGUCAUGCAAGUGAAGAUAGACAUGAUAGACUUCCGUGCUGCAAAGCUAUUCACCUUUGUUUAUAUAAAUGACCAUUCAUACCUAUUCCCCUCCAUCAUGCUUCUAAACUGGAUAGUAAUAAACAAUUUUGGUUGGCAGGAUGCAACUGUGUCACCACAGGCUUUAUCCCGUCUCCCUUUAGUCUGGGUAUAUUUUAGGUAUGGGUGUUUAAUUCGGUGUCGUUUUGGUUGGAACCGCAGGAUCUGUUUGCCCGUGAUUCUUGCCCCAAAAGUGGACUUGGACAAACUACAAGUUCGACGAUGUAAGAUAAUACUCAAUUUGUUUGGUCAUGUUACUGUUUGCCCAAAGUUGACUCUUUCUUCAUUUGUGUUUUCGUCUUGCAGAGGUGUUCACAUAGGUGAUCGUUGCUGUGAUGAACUGGUCAUGUUCAUGUUGCUGGGAUGAGGCCUCCCGUGCGGCUUCCCCUGCACUUCCGGGGCUGUUUCUUCUCCGUCUCCAGUGCAG
rnacentral:lncRNA from 1 species